AUGGCUCCGAAAGCCGACAAGGGGAAGGUCGUGAAGUCGGCCGAGGCACAGCGGCUAGCGGCGCUGCGAAAGGAGCGGGCAAUCUCCCCCCAUCUCGCUGCGAAGGAGCUGAGGGAGUACUACUACCUCUUCUGGUCGAUGGAGACGCGAGCGCAUCCGCGUACGAAGGUACUCCCAGCUGCCGCUUCGGAACUGGUUCCGAAUGGAUACCCUUUCUUCGCGCUGUUCUUCUACUGCGGGCUCUGCCCGCCUUUCUCUGAAUUUUUCUGCGAUAUCAUGAACACCUACGGGUUCCGCCUCCUUGACUUCACCCCCAAUGUUGUUCUGACCAUGGCAGUUUUCGCACAUCUCUGCGAAAACUUUGUCGGAGUCUAUCCAAACGUAGCUCUUUUCCGCCACUUCUUUAUGCCCUGA
rnacentral:rRNA from 1 species